CCGAGUGAAAACUCCCAAACCCCUGUGAACAUACCACUGUUGCUUCGGCGGACCACCCUCGCCUCGCGGCGGGGGCCCGCCAGAGGACCCAAGACCCAACUGUAUUUUUGUUUUCCAAACGUAUUCUGAGUGAGGAUUUCGAAUCGAAAUUA
rnacentral:misc_RNA from 1 species